GGCAGACUUUGGAAUUUCCAAAUAUAUCAACAUAAGUGAG
rnacentral:sRNA from 1 species